CGCAAAACAGGGGAAUAGUGGCUUGAGGACUCUGCUUUCUGCCUUGUGCCAAAGAACCACAGAUGCUGCUUUUAUUUUAUUUUUAUUUUUUUGGUAAGACUUGCUGUGAGGACUGAGAUAUUGCAGCUUUUAUUUUUUUUAAAAAAAGAACCAUUUCCUUUUCUUUUAAAUAUAUAUGUGAUCAUUUAACACACUGGUGUUAAAUUCACUCUUGCCGCAAAAGAAGGCCAUUGGUACUUCCUGACCCUGAAAGCAAGGUCAUUGGUGCCAGACAGCAGACUGCACGCUGGAAGUCUUUCUGUAUCGCAGGCCAAAGGCUGGUAAUCUCCCCGGGCAAUGCUGAGAUAACACAUGUCAAGAGGCAGCAGUGGCUGGUAAGCCAACUCAUCACUCACCUCGUCCCACCGCCCUCCUGGCCCCCUAUUGUUGCAGCCCUUUCAUU
rnacentral:lncRNA from 1 species